rnacentral:rRNA from 1 species
ACGAAACUUCUUUAUCACCGAGUGCUUGCACUCACCGAUAAAGAGUUGAGUGGCGAACGGGUGAGUAACACGUGGGCAACCUGCCCAAAAGAGGGGGAUAACACUUGGAAACAGGUGCUAAUACCGCAUAACCAUAGUUACCGCAUGGUAACUAUGUAAAAGGUGGCUAUGCUACCGCUUUUGGAUGGGCCCGCGGCGCAUUAGCUAGUUGGUGGGGUAAAGGCUUACCAAGGCAAUGAUGCGUAGCCGAACUGAGAGGUUGAUCGGCCACAUUGGGACUGAGACACGGCCCAAACUCCUACGGGAGGCAGCAGUAGGGAAUCUUCCACAAUGGGCGAAAGCCUGAUGGAGCAACGCCGCGUGGGUGAAGAAGGUCUUCGGAUCGUAAAACCCUGUUGUUAGAGAAGAAAGUGCGUGAGAGUAACUGUUCACGUUUCGACGGUAUCUAACCAGAAAGCCACGGCUAACUACGUGCCAGCAGCCGCGGUAAUACGUAGGUGGCAAGCGUUAUCCGGAUUUAUUGGGCGUAAAGGGAACGCAGGCGGUCUUUUAAGUCUGAU